GUCGAACGAACUCUGGUAUUGAUUGGUGCUUGCAUCAUGAUUUACAUUUGAGUGAGUGGCGAACUGGUGAGUAACACGUGGGAAACCUGCCCAGAAGCGGGGGAUAACACCUGGAAACAGAUGCUAAUACCGCAUAACAACUUGGACCGCAUGGUCCGAGUUUGAAAGAUGGCUUCGGCUAUCACUUUUGGAUGGUCCCGCGGCGUAUUAGCUAGAUGGUGGGGUAACGGCUCACCAUGGCAAUGAUACGUAGCCGACCUGAGAGGGUAAUCGGCCACAUUGGGACUGAGACACGGCCCAAACUCCUACGGGAGGCAGCAGUAGGGAAUCUUCCACAAUGGACGAAAGUCUGAUGGAGCAACGCCGCGUGAGUGAAGAAGGGUUUCGGCUCGUAAAACUCUGUUGUUAAAGAAGAACAUAUCUGAGAGUAACUGUUCAGGUAUUGACGGUAUUUAACCAGAAAGCCACGGCUAACUACGUGCCAGCAGCCGCGGUAAUACGUAGGUGGCAAGCGUUGUCCGGAUUUAUUGGGCGUAAAGCGAGCGCAGGCGGUUUUUUAAGUCUGAUGUGAAAGCCUUCGGCUCAACCGAAGAAGUGCAUCGGAAACUGGGAAACUUGAGUGCAGAAGAGGACAGUGGAACUCCAUGUGUAGCGGUGAAAUGCGUAGAUAUAUGGAAGAACACCAGUGGCGAAGGCGGCUGUCUGGUCUGUAACUGACGCUGAGGCUCGAAAGUAUGGGUAGCAAACAGGAUUAGAUACCCUGGUAGUCCAUACCGUAAACGAUGAAUGCUAAGUGUUGGAGGGUUUCCGCCCUUCAGUGCUGCAGCUAACGCAUUAAGCAUUCCGCCUGGGGAGUACGGCCGCAAGGCUGAAACUCAAAGGAAUUGACGGGGGCCCGCACAAGCGGUGGAGCAUGUGGUUUAAUUCGAAGCUACGCGAAGAACCUUACCAGGUCUUGACAUACUAUGCAAAUCUAAGAGAUUAGACGUUCCCUUCGGGGACAUGGAUACAGGUGGUGCAUGGUUGUCGUCAGCUCGUGUCGUGAGAUGUUGGGUUAAGUCCCGCAACGAGCGCAACCCUUAUUAUCAGUUGCCAGCAUUAAGUUGGGCACUCUGGUGAGACUGCCGGUGACAAACCGGAGGAAGGUGGGGAUGACGUCAAAUCAUCAUGCCCCUUAUGACCUGGGCUACACACGUGCUACAAUGGAUGGUACAACGAGUUGCGAACUCGCGAGAGUAAGCUAAUCUCUUAAAGCCAUUCUCAGUUCGGAUUGUAGGCUGCAACUCGCCUACAUGAAGUCGGAAUCGCUAGUAAUCGCGGAUCAGCAUGCCGCGGUGAAUACGUUCCCGGGCCUUGUACACACCGCCCGUCACACCAUGAGAGUUUGUAACACCCAAAGUCGGUGGGGUAACCUUUUAGA
rnacentral:rRNA from 2 species